GCACUCGCUAAGGCUCUGCGUUUAACAGACACUACCUUUGGGAAGGCGCUUAUCACAAAAAGUCCCUGCCCUUCUCGCGGGCUCGGGGCGCAACCCUGACAAAUCGGGCAGCCUUCUUGAGAGUGCAGAAAUGCUCUGCGUACCCAGCAAAUACAUUCUCUCCUUCCCACCACUCUGUGCAAACCCUCACGCCGCGGCUUUGUGUCUGUACUUUAGCCAAAACGCAGAAGCUUAUGGCCACCCUCCACUCCUCACCCCUCAUCCCUCACCACCUGCCUUUCAAUUCUCGGAACGAGCGACGUGACACAAGAGGUCCCAAGGGAGCAAACCUGAAAGCCAGAGCCUCCUGAAUACACAAACUGCCGGUGGGCCAGAUGACAUUAGACACUCCUGAGAUACGAGAAGCAUCACUUCCUUCAGACAGAGUCGGUGAGACUAUGAUGUAAUGAGAGUUCUCCCUGUGUUCCUCA
ensembl:lncRNA CFL1P1 cofilin 1 pseudogene 1